rnacentral:lncRNA from 1 species
GUUAAGUUUGCUGAAAAUAAACGCAGUUGACAGUGUGAGAGGACAUUUCUUUUUUUGCUAAGUUUAUAUGUUUUUGUAAGGCUUUAGGUGGCUACUGUAGUAUCUGAAGAGGAAGGGCUCCCCUCCAUUUCUGUAGGUACAACCAGAGAUAGAGGGAGGUGGAGAACAGUGGGAGGUGAAGGAUUCAUUUGUAACAAUUCUCGUAGUCACCGAAGUGGUCCCUCUGUCAGACCCACAGUGUCUCUGCUCCACCCAGUCCUCUGAGCAGCUCUCCGGGGGCUAGGCCACACUGGCCUGCCUGCUGAGUGGCUUCUCCCCCCAGGGGGCGAUGGCGAGCUGGGAGGUGGACGGGGCGGAGGUGACGGAGUGCGUCCUGACCACCACAGAAGAAGAGAAGAGCGGCCGCUACAGCCACAGCAGCACCCUGACACUGAGCAAGGCAAGCUGGGAACAGGGAGAGGUGUACACCUGCACGGUCGCCCAUGACGACACCAGUUAUUCGGACGCCUUCUGGAGAAGUCACUGUAGUGACUAGAGGCCGGAGAAGCCAUUGUAGGGGUCUACAGAGUCCCCACAUGUUGCUAGUUCUGGCAACAGUGUUUUAGAGCUGAAUGUUACAGUAUAAUAGUGAAUAAUAUAGUUAGUGCUGUGUGCUAAAUGAACUAUUUUGAGAUGAAAAAUCCAAGAUGGCGUAGCAGUCAGACGUCUUUGUCUUGUCGUGUCCCGUGUAUAUAUAGAUUUUUUGUUCGUAUAUAUUUCGUAUAUAUUUUUUGGAGUUUUAACCUCAAUUUCAACAUACUCUCCUACAACCCGCCUCACCAAAUGUGGUAUGGAUCUGCUAUUUUCUAUACUUUAGAACCGGAACCCUCAACAGAAGCUAGCCAGCUAACUAGCUACUAGCUAGUAGUCAGUUAGCCACUGCUAGCGGUCAUCAGCUAACCUCAGCCCGGUCAACUCCUGCCAGUCUGCACUGCGCGAUUCAACCCAGAGCAUAUUGGACUACUUUUUCUCUACCACAUCUCCACAUCUCCGGAUUCCUACCGCAAGCUCUGAACCUUUUCACCUGGAUCAUCACAGCUAGCUAGCUGCUAUCCCAGUGGCUACUCCUGGCUAAUGUUAACGUUGGAAGCCUCCUCCCUAAGUUUGUUUUAUUCACUGCUUUAGCACAAUCUGCCAACCCGGAUGUCCUGGCCUUGUCUGAAUCUUGGCUUAGGAAGGCCACCAAAAAUCCUGUCAUUUCCAUCCCUAACUAUAACAUUUUCCGACAAGAUAGAACUGCCAAGGGGGCGGAGUUGCAAUCUACUGCAGAGAUAGCCUGCAGAGUUCUGUCAUACUAUCCAGGUCUUCUACUUUUAAAAAUCCACUUUUCCAGAAACAAGUCUCUCACCAUUACCGCUUGUUAUAGACCACCCUCAGCCCCCAGCUGUGCCCUGGACACCAUAUGUGAAUUGAUUGCCCCCCAUCUAUCUGAGCUCGUACUGUUAGGUGACCUAAGCUGCGACAUGUUUAACACCCUGUCCAACAAUCUAAGAUAGAUACCCUCAAUCUCACACAAAUUAUCAUUGAACCUACCAGGUACAACCCCAAAUCCGUAACCACGGGUACCCUCAUAGAUAUCAUCCUGACCAACUUGCCCUCUAAAUACACCUCUGCUGUCUUCAACCAGGAUCUCAGCGAUCACUGCCUCAUUGCCUGCGUCCGUAAUGGGUCUGCGGUCAAACGACCACCUCUCAUCACUGUCAAAUGCUCCCUAAAACACUUCAGCGAGCAGGACUUUCUAAUCAACCUGGCCCGGGUAUCCUGGAAGGAUAUUGACCUCAUCCCGUCAGUAGAGUAUGCCUGGUAAUUCUUUAAAAGUGCUUUCCUCACCAUCUUAAAUAAGCAUGCCCCAUUCAAUUUUUUUUAACCAGAACAGAUAUAGCCCUUGGUUCACUCCAGACCUGACUGCCCUUGACCAGCACAAAAACAUCCUGUGGCGAACAGCGAACAGCCCCCACGAUAUGCAACUUUUCAGGGAAGUUAGGAACCAAUAUAUACAGGCAGUUAGGAAAGCAAAGGCUAGCUUUUUCAAACAGAAAUUUGCGUCCUGUAGCACAAGCUCCAAAAAGUUCUGGGACACUGUGAAGUCCAUGGAGAACAAGAGCACCUCCUCCCAGCUGCCCGCUGCACUGAGGCUAGGAAACACUGUCACCACCGAUAAAUCCACUAUAAUUGAGAAUUUCAAUAAGCAUUUUUCUACGGCUGGCCAUGCUUUCUGGCCAUACAUCCCUACCCCGGUCAACAGCUCUGCACCCCCCACAGCAACUUGACCAAGCCUCCCCCAUUUCUCCUUCACCCAAAUCCAGAUAGCUGAUGUUCUGAAAGAGCUGCAAAAUCUGGACAACUACAAAUCAGCUGGGCUAGACAAUCUGGACCCUCUCUUUAUAAAAUUAUCCGCCGCAAUUGUUGCAUCCCCUAUGACUAGCUUGUUCAUCCUCUCUUUCCUAACGUCUGAGAUCCCCAAAGAUUGGAAAGCUGCCGCGGUCAUCCCCCUCCUCAAAGGGUAGACACUCUAGACCCAAACUGUUACAGACCUAUAUCUAUCCUACCCUGCCUUUCUAAGGUCUUCGAAAGUCAAGUUAACAAACAGAUCACCGACCAUUUUGAAUCCCACCGUACCUUCUCCGCUAUGCAAUCUGGUUUCUGAGCUGGUCAUGUGUGCACCUAAGCCACGCUCAAGGUCCUAAACGAUAUCAUAAUCACCAUCGAUAAAAUACAAUACUGUGCAGCCGUCUUCAUCGACCUGGCCAAAGCUUUCGACUCUGUCAAUCACCACAUUCUUAUCGGCAGACUCAACAGCCUUGGUUUCUCAAAUGACUGCCUCGCCUGGUUCACCAACUACUUCUCAGACAGAGUUCAGUGUGUCAAAUCGGUGAGCCUGUUGUCCAGACCUCUGGCAGUUUCUAUGGGGGUGCCACAGGGUUCAAUUCUCGGGCCGACUCUUUUCUCUAUAUACAUCAAUGAUGUCGCUCUUGCUGCUGGUGAUUCUCUGAUCCACCUCUACGCAGACGACACCAUUCUGUAUACUUCUGGCCAUUCUUUGGACACUGUAACCUCCAAAUGAUCUUCAACGCCAUACAACUCUCCUUCCGUGGCCUCCAACUGCUCUUAAAUGCAAGUAAAACCAAAUGCAUGCUCUUCAACUGAUCGCAUCUGUCCGCCCGUCACUACUCUGGAUGGUUCUGACUUAGAAUAUGUGGACAACUACAAAUACCUAGGUGUCUGGUUAGACUGUAAACUCUCCUUCCAGACUCACAUUAAGCAUCUCCAAUCCAAAAUUAAAUCUAGAAUCAGCUUCCUAUUUUGCAACAAAGCAUCUACUCAUGCUGCCAAACAUACCCUCGUAAAACCGACUAUCCUACCGAUCCUUGACUUCGGCAAUGUCAUUUACAAAAUAGCCUCCAACACUCUACUCAGCAAAAUGGAUGCAGUCUAUCACAGUGCCAACCGUUUUGUCACCAAAGCCCCAUAUACUACCCACCACUGCGACCUGUUUGCUCUCGUUGGCUGGCCCUCGCUUCAUAUUCAUCGCCAAAACCACUGGCUCCAGGUCAUCUAUAAGUCUUUGCUAGGUAAAACCCCGCCUUAUCUCAGCUCACUGGUCACCAUAGCAGCACCCACCCAUAGCACUCACUCCAGCAGGUAUAUUUCAUUGGUCACCCCCAAAGCCAAUUUUUACUUUGGCCGCCUUUCCUUCCCGUUCUCUGCUGCCAAUGACUAGAACGAAUUGCAAAAAUCACUGAAGCUGGAUACUUAUAUCUCCCUCACUAACUUUAAGCAUCAGCUGUCAGAGCAGCUUACAGAAGUUUCACCUGUACAUAGCCCAUCUGUAAAUAGCCCAUCCAACUACCUCAUCCCCAUAUUGCUAUUUAUUUAUUUUUGCUCCUUUGCACACCAGUAUCUCUACUAGUAUCUCUAGUAUGUUUGUUUAUUCCAUGUGUAACUCUGUGUUGUUGUUUGUGUCGCACUGCUUUGCUUUAUCUUGGCCAGGUCGCAGUUGUAUAUGAGAACUUGUUCUCAACUGGCCUACCUGGUUAAAUAAAGGUGAAAUAAAUUAAAUUAAAUUAAAAA